GCUUGGGUAUCUUAUAUUAGAGUAUGACGUUGAAGUUGUCAUUGAGGUUGAUUAACCUUCAAGUG
rnacentral:tRNA from 1 species